ensembl:lncRNA
GGGUUGCUCUUCUCACACUUAGUUUCAGAGUGGGAUUCAAUCUCCCAGCAGCCCUCAAGCUCACUGCUCAGAGUUACUUUCACUGGGCACCAGGCACCAUGCUCAGGAUUUUCACAGGCAUGAAAAUAAGUUCAUCUGCUAUCGAUCCCUGCAGGAAAAUCCAUGUGGGGAAGUUACACAACUUCAGCAACCAUCAUAGAUGCCGAACUGUUUUCCAGGUCUGGCAAAUCGGUCGUGGGCAGGAGGUCAUGCUGGUCACAGGCUUGGGUUGUGGAGUCAAGACAGACCUGAAUUCAAAUCCCACCUCUGCUAUGUACUAGCUGUGUGAUCUGGACAAGCGACUUAUCCUCUCUGGGCCUCUGUUCCUUCAGCCAGGCAGCCAGGUGGCACAGCACAGGGAGACAGUCUCUCACAUUAUCAUACCAGAGGGUGACAAUUUUAACAGGCUACGGAGUGAACACUAACCCUGGAGCCCAGAAAGGAGCAGCACUGGCAAUACUACCUCCCUGGAUUAUUCUUGCCAGCAGUCACUAUGGCAAGAACAAGCACUCAGCAAUCAACCCAAUAAUCCCCCCAUUUCACAGAAGAGGACACCGAGGUUCAGAGAGAUCCAGGAUGCCCGCAGUCCAGGCAGGCAGCCACUACCAGCUGAUUCAAGCAUUGUCA